AUAUUCUGGUUUCUCUUCAGAUUAUAUAAUUCUUUCACCUUUUACUAAAGAUUCCUGUGGAGAGGAACAUUUAUGAGUUUUUACCUAAUUUUUUGAAACUUUUUUAAAAAACAA
rnacentral:snRNA from 1 species